GACGAACCGUGCGACCGUUAUUCGGAAUCACUGGGCUUAAAGCGCGUGUAGGCGGGACGGCACGUCUGUCGCUGAAAUCCCCCGGCUUAACCGGGGAACUGGCGUAGAUACGACCGUCCUGGAGGGGCGUAGGGGGACCUGGAACUUCCGGUGGAGCGGUGAAAUGCGUUGAGAUCGGAAGGAACGCCCGUGGCGAAAGCGAGGUCCUGGACGCCUACUGACGCUGAGACGCGAAAGCCAGGGGAGCGAACGGG
rnacentral:rRNA from 1 species